AGAGUUUGAUCAUGGCUCAGGAUGAACGCUAGCGACAGGCUUAACACAUGCAAGUCGAGGGGCAGCGGGGAAGUAGCAAUACUUCCGCCGGCGACCGGCGCACGGGUGAGUAACACGUAUGGAACCUGCCCGUAGCAGGGGGAUAAGCGGAAGAAAUUCCGUCUAAUACCGCGUAAUAACUCCGAGAGGCAUCUCAUGGAGUUUAAAGGGUAACACCGGCUACGGAUGGCCAUGCGGCGCAUUAGCUAGUUGGCGGGGUAACGGCCCACCAAGGCGACGAUGCGUAGGGGUUCUGAGAGGAAGGUCCCCCACACUGGUACUGAGACACGGACCAGACUCCUACGGGAGGCAGCAGUGAGGAAUAUUGGUCAAUGGGCGCGAGCCUGAACCAGCCAAGUCGCGUGAGGGAAGACGGUCCUAUGGAUUGUAAACCUCUUUUGUCGGGGAGCAAAAGACGCCACGUGUGGCGUUCCGAGAGUACCCGAAGAAAAAGCAUCGGCUAACUCCGUGCCAGCAGCCGCGGUAAUACGGAGGAUGCGAGCGUUAUCCGGAUUUAUUGGGUUNAAAGGGUGCGCAGGCGGAAGAUCAAGUCAGCGGUAAAAUUGAGAGGCUCAACCUCUUCGAGCCGUUGAAACUGGUUUUCUUGAGUGAGCGAGAAGUAUGCGGAAUGCGUGGUGUAGCGGUGAAAUGCAUAGAUAUCACGCAGAACUCCGAUUGCGAAGGCAGCAUACCGGCGCUCAACUGACGCUCAUGCACGAAAGUGUGGGUAUCGAACAGGAUUAGAUACCCUGGUAGUCCACACAGUAAACGAUGAAUACUAAUUGUUCGGGGAGAAUGAUCCCUGAGUGAUACAGCGAAAGCGUUAAGUAUUCCACCUGGGGAGUACGCCGGCAACGGUGAAACUCAAAGGGAAUUGACGGGGGCCCGCACAAGCGGAGGAACAUGUGGUUUUAAUUCGAUGAUACGCGAGGAANCUUUACCCCGGGCNUCAAACGACNCAGGAAUACUUUUGAAAGGAGGUAGCUCUACGGAGCCUGUGUCGAGGUGCUGCAUGGUUGUCGUCAGCUCGUGCCGUGAGGUGUCGGCUUAAGUGCCAUAACGAGCGCAACCCCCAUCGCCAGUUACCAGCAAGUCAAGUUGGGGACUCUGGCGAGACUGCCGGCGCAAGCUGUGAGGAAGGCGGGGAUGACGUCAAAUCAGCACGGCCCUUACGUCCGGGGCGACACACGUGUUACAAUGGCAGGUACAGAGAGAAGCAAUGCGGCGACGCAAAGCGGAACUUGAAAGCCUGUCUCAGUUCGGAUUGGAGUCUGCAACUCGACUCCAUGAAGCUGGAUUCGCUAGUAAUCGCGCAUCAGCCAUGGCGCGGUGAAUACGUUCCCGGGCCUUGUACACACCGCCCGUCAAGCCAUGGAAGCCGGGAGUGCCUGAAGUGUGCAACCGCAAGGAGCGCCCUAAGGUAAAACUGGUGACUGGGGCUAAGUCGUAANCAAGGUAACC
rnacentral:rRNA from 1 species